CAUUUCAAAAGUUCAAAAAAGCAUCAGCAAAACUCUAGUGCAGACCAAACAUGCUAAUACUCGUGUGUUCAUGCAUAUAACCUUAUAGAACUUGAAGGAAAAACACUAAAAAUAGCAAUCUUGUCAUACUCUGACAGAGGAGGCCUGUAUCUGACAGCAAAGUAUUUAAGCUAGGUAUUCAGUGAAGUCAAAACCACACUUUCAUGUGUGUUGUUGCUACCUUAACAACUUCUUUUUUUGUGAGUUUCAAUUCCAACAAUCAAUUUGCUGUUGAAUCAAGCUGUACGAUGGAGGACUUUAGAUGAAAACAAAGCAAUGACAUUAAUGUUGACCUGUUUUAAAAUAAAAAAAGUCAAAUUAAUUGUUUUUCUACUAAAUUUUUGAUGAAAACUGCCAAUACACAAAGGGUUAGGGCAACUCGUUUAGCCCAGAUGAGACAGCAGCUUCAACCUCCGACUCAGCUACACUGAUUUCUUUGUUUUCUAUCUUUCAAAUAUGAAAAAGAAAUCUGUCCAUUCCACAUUUUCAAGAUUCUACCACAUAUUGAUGGGUGUAACAAAUAUUCUGAGAAAUGACUCUCUUUACCUGAACACGUUAUUCUAAUUUGGAUGGUUCUGCUUUCCUGCACUGCUGCUCUGUGGCUCCAUCAGAGGGGAGCCAAAGAGGAAGGUGGAGGGGGGUUAAGAGAUGGGAAGAAUGUGGUCAUUGUGCUCUCCAGUCACGACAACACUUGUAGACGUAACAGCAGGAGACAGGAGAAAGGGGGAGAGCACAAGGUCUCAAAGUGGAGGAGAGAGCAGGAGGUGACAGAGUUGAAGGAGAGCGCUACAGUGGGAGAACGAAGGAGGGAGGGAGGGAUGGAGGGAGGAAGGGCAGUGGUAAUUAGUGAGUCUGUACCUGACUCUCACUGACAUAAGCCCCACAUUCCAACGAGCCGAGAAGGGGGGGAGAAAGAUGAGGGAGGAGGAAUAAAGAAGAAAAAAAAAAGUUCUGAGCGCACCAUCCGAAUAUCAUUCCAGAGCUAUCCUCUCUGAUGAAGCCCUCAAAACGCCAGAGUUUCCCAGGUCCAACUUCCUCCCGUCUCUUCCUUCACCUUUGUAUUAAAAGACACAAAAACCCCUC